rnacentral:rRNA from 1 species
CCUACGGGAGGCAGCAGUGGGGGAUAUUGCACAAUGGGGGAAACCCUGAUGCAGCGACGCCGCGUGUGGGAAGACGGUCCUCUGGAUUGUAAACCACUGUCCCCAGGGACGAAGAUGACGGUACCGGGGGAGGAAGCGCCGGCUAACUACGUGCCAGCAGCAGCGGUAAGACGUAGGGAGCGAGCGUUGUCCGGAAUUACUGGGUGGAAAGGGAGCGUAGGCGGGACUGCAAGUUGGGUGUCAAAUCUACCGGCUCAACCGGUAGCCGCCCUCAAAACUGCAGUUCUUGAGUGAAGUAGAGGCAGGCGGAUUUCCUCGUGUAGCGGUGCCUUGC